CUCUAAUGACAGAACUUCUACUCCCAGUGGGGGAGCAGAAAUAAGAUGAAAAAGGUUGCAAAAGCCAAAAGACAAUCUUAUCUUCAGCACUUUUACUGACUACAAAGCCAUCAUAACCAAAAACAAAGAAUGAAGUGGAAGGAGCUGUGCCAUAUUUGAUCACAUUAAAACUUUGCUGAAGGCAGGCUGAAUAUGCAUCAUAAUCCUACUGUUUUUCUGAUUCCUAAAGUGGUAUGUACUCUGUACUUCUGCAUGGGAAUAAUUUUCAUCCAGAGGUGUAAACCACUUCAUUAGAAGCAUCCAGUGGGAUCAAUGAGAGGAGCUCCUGUGCUGUGAGUCAUCUCAUGUAUCUUUUUAGUCCUGAGAGAGCCAACCAUGCCCUUUGUACAGACAGCAUAUUUGGACUUGGCUUGGGAAGAAUGAGAGUUGCAGUCUCUAACACACAGCACAGAUUGCAGGUGAGCAUCUGGGGCAGCAGACAGCUCUGUGAACACAGUCACUUUGAUGAAGACAAAUGUUUGUGCACUUUUAUACAUUGGCAUUGUUGGAGGUUAGAUUCCAAGUAUGAGUGACCUGAAAACUGCUGUUCA
rnacentral:lncRNA from 12 species